GACGAACGCUGGCGGCGUGCCUAAUACAUGCAAGUUGAGCGGUGAAGAUUGGUGCUUGCACCAAUUUGAAGAGCAGCGAAAGGGUGAGUAACGCGUGGGGAAUCUGCCUUUGAGCGGGGGACAACAUUUGGAAACGAAUGCUAAUACCGCAUAAUAACUUUAAACAUAAGUUUUAAGUUUGAAAGAUGCAAUUGCAUCACUCAAAGAUGAUCCCGCGUUGUAUUAGCUAGUUGGUGAGGUAAAGGCUCACCAAGGCGAGGAUACAUAGACGACCUGAGAGGGUGAUCGGCCACAUUGGGACGGAGACACGGCCCAAACUCCUACGGGAGGCAGCAGUAGGGAAUCUUCGGCAAUGGACGAAAGUCUGACCGAGCAACGCCGCGUGAGUGAAGAAGGUUUUCGGAUCGUAAAACUCUGUUGGUAGAGAAGAACGUUGGUGAGAGUGGAAAGCUCAUCAAGUGACGGUAACUACACAGAAAGGGACGGCUAACUACGUG
rnacentral:rRNA from 1 species